GACGAACGCUGGCGGCGUGCUUAACACAUGCAAGUCGAACGGAGUGGCGAACGGGUGAGUCACACGUGGGUGAUCUGCCUUGCACUUCGGGAUACGCUAGGGAAACUGGGUAUAAUAACCGAUAGUGCAAGAUGAUCUCGCGGCCUAGCAGCUUGUGGGUGGGGUAAUGGCCUACCAAGGCGUCGACGGGUAGCCUGACUGAGAGGGCGGACGGCCACAAUGGGACUGAGAUACGGCGCAGACUCCUACGGGAGGCAGUAGGGGGGAGUAUGGCACAAUGGGCGGGAGCCUGAUGCAGCGACGCCGCGUGGGGGAUGCAGGCCUUCUGGUUGUAAACUCCUUUCGACAGGGACGCGGUACCUGUAUAAGAAGCACCGGCUAACUACGUGCCAGCAGCCGCGGUAAUUC
rnacentral:rRNA from 1 species